AGGCUCAUGAUGCUGAAUGCUAUCAUCAACGGAUUUGAAGCUUUUGUGGUGGAGCAGGACCUGCAAGGAAAGAUGAUGGCAGCAUUUGUUGGGGAAAAAAGGUUUUAGGGAAACAAAUGACAUUGUGCUAUUAAAAUAACUGCUUUUGUGUACUGUUUGUGCAUUUUUGUAGGAUCUGAAAUGUCUGCAGACUGGUGUGAGCACUGAGGAUGAGGAGCCCAGAGCUGAAUCCUGGAAGUGGUGCCAUGGAUGAGUCCCUCCAUCUCUUCACCUGCCCUUACGAGAACCUCUAUCGCUCCAUCUGCCCUUAUUGCCUCGGAUUGUGAAGCGCUUGCAGUAGGAUGUGGUGUUCAGCGCCUGUAAAUACAUGCUUGUAGUUUGAAUAAAGCUUUGCUUUAUGUGUU